UUUCUUUUUUCUUUUAUUAAAGCUGUUCAUCACUUAUAGUUUUAUAAUAUGAUUUAUGCCAACGAUGAAUCCAGCCGUAAUUUUUUGACCGAUUUUGACGAACGAAAUUACAUAUUAAAGCUGAAGGUUUCAACGUAGAUACAUGACUUUUUCCGUCGAUUUUUUGAGUUUUAUUUCCUUCGAAAGAAAUAAAAUAAUCGAAACAAAAAAUCAUUCGAUCAAAAAAUGAUGUUCCUUCAAAUCUAACCUCGUACGUAAAAAUUUAUAAAGAGUUAUAUUCCGGAUCAAUUUUGUUGGUGCAAAAUCUUGUUUUCGAUA